AGCGCUACCUUCGGGUGGAGCGGCGGACGGGUUAGUAACGCGUGGGAAUAUACCCUUCACUAUGGAAUAGCCUCGGGAAACUGAGAGUAAUACCAUAUACGCCCUUCGGGGGAAAGAUUUAUCGGUGAAGGAUUAGCCCGCGUAAGAUUAGAUAGUUGGUGGGGUAAUGGCCUACCAAGUCUACGAUCUUUAGCUGGUUUUAGAGGAUGAUCAGCAACACUGGGACUGAGACACGGCCCAGACUCCUACGGGAGGCAGCAGUGGGGAAUCUUAGACAAUGGGCGAAAGCCUGAUCUAGCCAUGCCGCGUGAGUGAUGAGGGUCUUAGGAUCGUAAAGCUCUUUCGCUAGGGAUGAUAAUGACAGUACCUAGUAAAGAAGCCCCGGCUAACUCCGUGCCAGCAGCCGCGGUAAUACGGAGGGGGCUAGCGUUGUUCGGAAUUACUGGGCGUAAAGCGUACGUAGGCGGAUCAGAAAGUAUGGGGUGA
rnacentral:rRNA from 1 species